rnacentral:rRNA from 1 species
AGAGUUUGAUUCUGGCUCAGGAUGAACGCUGGCGGCGUGGAUAAGACAUGCAAGUCGAACGAGAGAAUUGCUAGCUUGCUAAUAAUUCUCUAGUGGCGCACGGGUGAGUAACACGUGAGUAACCUGCCCCCGAGAGCGGGAUAGCCCUGGGAAACUGGGAUUAAUACCGCAUAGUAUCGAAAGAUUAAAGCAGCAAUGCGCUUGGGGAUGGGCUCGCGGCCUAUUAGUUAGUUGGUGAGGUAACGGCUCACCAAGGCGAUGACGGGUAGCCGGUCUGAGAGGAUGUCCGGCCACACUGGAACUGAGACACGGUCCAGACACCUACGGGUGGCAGCAGUCGAGAAUCAUUCACAAUGGGGGAAACCCUGAUGGUGCGACGCCGCGUGGGGGAAUGAAGGUCUUCGGAUUGUAAACCCCUGUCAUGUGGGAGCAAAUUAAAAAGAUAGUACCACAAGAGGAAGAGACGGCUAACUCUGUGCCAGCAGCCGCGGUAAUACAGAGGUCUCAAGCGUUGUUCGGAAUCACUGGGCGUAAAGCGUGCGUAGGCUGUUUCGUAAGUCGUGUGUGAAAGGCGCGGGCUCAACCCGCGGACGGCACAUGAUACUGCGAGACUAGAGUAAUGGAGGGGGAACCGGAAUUCUCGGUGUAGCAGUGAAAUGCGUAGAUAUCGAGAGGAACACUCGUGGCGAAGGCGGGUUCCUGGACAUUAACUGACGCUGAGGCACGAAGGCCAGGGGAGCGAAAGGGAUUAGAUACCCCUGUAGUCCUGGCAGUAAACGGUGCACGCUUGGUGUGCGGGGAAUCGACCCCCUGCGUGCCGGAGCUAACGCGUUAAGCGUGCCGCCUGGGGAGUACGGUCGCAAGAUUAAAACUCAAAGAAAUUGACGG